rnacentral:rRNA from 1 species
AAAUUGAAGAGUUUGAUCAUGGCUCAGAUUGAACGCUGGCGGCAGGCCUAACACAUGCAAGUCGAACGGUAACAGGAAACAGCUUGCUGUUUCGCUGACGAGUGGCGGACGGGUGAGUAAUGUCUGGGAAACUGCCUGAUGGAGGGGGAUAACUACUGGAAACGGUAGCUAAUACCGCAUAACGUCGCAAGACCAAAGAGGGGGACCCUCGGGCCUCUUGCCAUCGGAUGUGCCCAG